UCGAGAGGCUUCCGCAAUGGGGGAAACCCUGACGGAGCGACGCCGCGUGAGGGAUGAAGGCCUUCGGGUUGUAAACCUCUUUCAGGUGGGAAGAAAGGUCGGGAGGCGAACAGUCGCCCGGCUGUGACGGUACCACCAGAAGAAGCUCCGGCUAACUCCGUG
rnacentral:rRNA from 1 species